CCGCACGGGUGAGUAACACGUAUCCAACCUGCCGUCUACUCUUGGCCAGCCUUCUGAAAGGAAGAUUAAUCCAGGAUGGCAUCAUGAGUUCACAUGUCCGCGUGAUUAAAGGUAUUUUCCGGUAGACGAUGGGGAUGCGUUCCAUUAGAUAGUAGGCGGGGUAACGGCCCACCUAGUCAACGAUGGAUAGGGGUUCUGAGAGGAAGGUCCCCCACAUUGGAACUGAGACACGGUCCAA
rnacentral:rRNA from 1 species